rnacentral:tRNA from 1 species
GUCUCGGUAGUGUAGGGAAUAAGAGCACGGCGCUCGAGUAGCACAAGUACGGGUUCGAGUCCCGUCUGAGAUC